GACCAAGUUAAGAAGGUGUAGGCUUCCAAUCUGAAGAUUGGUCACCACAAAACUCAAAGGGAAAACCUUUUAGGCCAAAGACCAUCUGAAGUGGCCCUGGUUCCUCCAUGUUUAACUCACUGGCCCCUAAUUUCUGCUGGACCUUCAUUUCAGUCGACUGUGUUUCAGGAGAUUCGGGCCACAACACCCCUGAGUUUACCGGUUUUGGUUUCUUCCUUGUGACCUUCGGCUCCAGGAUGCAGCACAGCUCCUCACUGCACUAUUUAUCAGAAUGUUGCUCUGCAUGCUUGAAAGUUUCCCCAAACAGAGGUACAUAAAAACAAACAGAGGCGAAACACAAAUCCCAUCAGCCCUGGAGGAAAAGGCCCUGAAGCUCUUCCAGUGCAGAGGCCACGCAGAGGACAGGCUCCUACCUGUGCACAUCAGCCACGCCUGGGGCGCCUCCUGGAGUCCAGGCUGCUGGCAAUGGAAUUCAUCAUGUUGCUGAUGUCACUGUAAGUUAAGUCGCAGCUGCCAGCUGAGCUAUGGGACAGUUUGAGGGAUGGCCAGAAGGUUUCUCCUGGAUGCCAUCUUCAGCAUACCUAGGAACCAGAGAAAAUGCAAUUCUUCGCAUGCCCAUCUCACUCCUGCAGCCUGGGGUCCCUCUUCAGUUUAUUUUUUUAUUUUUUUAUUUUUUUAUCAUAAGCACAUAGUCAGGCUCUGGGACAUCAUGGAACCCAGCAGCCUGCUGAAAGGUGAAGCACAAGUCUAAAGUCCUGUUAGUUAUGAAAUCCAGCUCUCCUGGAUUAGGCAAGGGGAAAACCACAUCUUUAAGAUACACUAGGGCAAGAAGUAAAGUAUGGAGAGCUGGCUCAACGAAAUUUUGUGUAUAAUAGGAGCCGUCCUAUGACUAAUUGUCACCUGUCUCAGAGACCUCAUGAUUAUUUCUGAGCUUUAACCAAUGAAUUAAUGUGGGUUCUACCUGGCUCUUCUAACGUCUUUGGAAUGGUUCCUCAGGGAACCACAGCUAUCCAUAGAGAUAACAACCUGAAUACAAGCCCAUCGCCCGAUCAGAUGCUGCUCUUACUUGCAUGACUUGGUUCUAUUCUUGCCCAGUCCCACUGGGAUAGCAGUGGUAGCUAAACAGCUAAGCAGAGUGACCUCAUUAGAUUCUCCUCUAGUAUAAAGUCACAUGUUAACUCAUUUUUGGACUCAUAG
rnacentral:lncRNA from 1 species